UGAAAGUACAGCUCUCUACAGAAUUAAUUCUAAAGCCAAAGCUACACCUCGUCACCAUGAGAAUCUCUGCUGUUUUCCUGCUUGUAAUUUCAAUCUAUUUUGUUCAGAGCUUUGAAGAUGAAAAGGAAAAAUGCAGCGCCCGCUACCCGAGCAUGAAAGGAAAAUGUCCCAAGGAACCGUGUGCCAUGACGACAUGUGAUGAGGCUGGAGCCGUCUGCAAAAACAAUUACUGCGGUGGAUGCAAUGCAAAGUGGUACACAAACGGAGAAAUCUCGGAGAAGUGCUCCAAAUUUUUCUUGGAGAAAAAUCAGUAGGAAGCAUAAGAAGUACGAGCCUAUUAGCAGAUUCUUCAAGACCCCGCGUCAUGCUCUGUAAAGGAUCAGUUUUUGAGAAGGAAUUUCAUUAAAAAAAAUCAUUCAUGAUUUUGUCCGAGUUCUGUAUUUCUUUAAUGCAUUGACAAAAGUUUUGAUAAAGUAUAAGAUUGU